rnacentral:rRNA from 1 species
UCCCGCAACGAGCGCAACCCUCGUUCUAUGUUGCCAGCACGUUAUGGUGGGAACUCAUAGGAGACUGCCGGGGUCAACUCGGAGGAAGGUGGGGAUGACGUCAAAUCAUCAUGCCCCUUAUGUCUUGGGCUUCACGCAUGCUACAAUGGCCGGUACAAAGGGCUGCGAUACCGUAAGGUGGAGCGAAUCCCAAAAAGCCGGUCUCAGUUCGGAUUGAGGUCUGCAACUCGACCUCAUGAAGUCGGAGUCGCUAGUAAUCGCAGAUCAGCAACGCUGCGGUGAAUACGUUCCCGGGCCUUGUACACACCGCCCGUCAAGUCAUGAAAGUCGGUAACACCCGAAGCCAG